AGAAAUUUAUUUGAAGAUGGAUUGGACUAGAUGGACUCUGCCAUCCCUGAAAGUGCUUCUUCAGCUUUGAGAUAGUGUUACUGAAACCAUGACUGUGGUAUGAACAGAAAUGGGAGCCUCAGAAGGAGCUGAUAUGAGAAGCAAGUCAUAGGAUGGGAUCAUAGAUCUUAGAGCUGCUGAGAUCCUCAGAGGCUACUUAAUCCAACACCCUCAUUUUGUUGAUGGAGAAACUUAGUCUAUUAUUCGGGAAAUGAAUGUGCCCAUUGUCACAGGAAGGUCCCAGCCAUGCUUUGUGUCACUUCCUACUCCUCAGCCAUCUUCCAUGUAGACUUUCCAAACAAAUUACAACCCACAUCAGAGACCAUGAUCUGGAGAUUUGUGUUUUAUUUCAUCUCUAGGACUUCUCUCUCAGGACCCUGCUUUCCUGAAUGGUGGCUCCUCUAAUAGAACAUAAAUUACUUCUAUAUUUUUUAGUUUCAAUGCAUUGAACAAUUCCUGGUACAUAGUAGGUACUUGAUGAAUGCCUUUGAUUCAUUAAUUUGUCAGCAGAGAGCAGUACAAAAUCAUCUUCAGAAGAUCACUGCAGCCUGUCAGCUUUACUUCGAUCUAGGAACCUAUCUAUAAUGAACCUCUGUCCUAAACCUCUGGAUGCUGAAAACCAAGGUGUCUACUUGGACCCUGCUUCUUGUUUGUUCCCUCUUGUUUGUACUGAAUCCUGGCUUGCCUAUUUGGAAGGCACUACCUUGUGGUCCCUCUUAACCAUGUUGAAAACCAAGUCAACAAAUCCAGUCUGCUUGCUUGAAACCCAUCCUGCAUCUGUUUCCUCAAAUGAAUUUCUUGAACUUUGGAAUUUGGUUUCAACUCUGUACUCUCAAAUAUUUGCAUGUUAUUCCCAAUAGUACCUGGUCUCCUGGCUAUAUCCCUUUGCUCUCCAAAAAUCCUGUUGAAUGCCAGAACCUUUGUCUAGCUGUAUUCCAGAUUCUUCUGUUAUUAUCCCAAUACCAAACAUUUUACCACCUAAAUAUGUACUGUUUUCUCUUAUAACUAAACUGCUUAUUAUAUGUAUGUGCCUUGUUUCUCAAAUAGGACCUUCCUGAAGGUCAGGGUUCAUUGUCUUUCACUCACAUAUUUCCAUUAGUCCUUAGACUUUUCAAGUAGUAGGCCAAACUAAAUAUUUGUUGAAUGAAUGAUUUGACAAUUUAACAUAUGCAAAGAUCUGGGCAGAUAAGUGGCAUAGAGAAACCAGAGAACUGGACAUGGUACCUGGAAAACCCGAGUUUUAAUCCUGUCUCAGAUAAUUAUUUAUUGGAUGACUCUGGGAAACCUUUCUAAGCCUCAUUUUCUUCCACAAAAUGAAGAUAAUAAUAACACAUCUUGUAAAAUUGUUGUAAAUACAAAAAAAAAAAGAAAUUAUAUGUACAUAUAUAAAAAUACUUUGUAAAUCUUAAAGAACUUUACAAAUAUUAACUAUUAUUAUUUUGCAAUCCUCUUUUUUAAAACAAAUAUGGCCUGUUGUCAGAAAAAUCUCUUAACCAAAAGCAAAAUUAAGUCUUCCACUAAAAGAUUUUGAAAUACCAAUGACAAAACUGUGAUAGAAAAGGAAACCUGUUGCUUCUGGUCAAAUGGGGUAAAAACAAAGACAUGAGAUGAAGCAGAGGCAGACAGAACUGAAAUACUAAUACCCCAGAGCACAAACAUAAAACAAAUCCCUCAACAUCCUCUCAAGCUGAGGUGUUUAACCCAGCUAGUUAAAAACUCAAAAUAUAUCUGAGAACUCAAGGUCAAUCAUGACCACAUCAGCUUCAUUGGGUAGAAAACCUCUCCUAAACUGGUCUUUUGGAGAGCUUGCAGAGCCCAUUUCAGGGUUGUUUAUACACCUAUGGUAU